GCAAGUCGAGCGAACAGACGAGGAGCUUGCUCCUCUGACGUUAGCGGCGGACGGGUGAGUAACACGUGGAUAACCUACCUAUAAGACUGGGAUAACUUCGGGAAACCGGAGCUAAUACCGGAUAAUAUAUUGAACCGCAUGGUUCAAUAGUGAAAGACGGUUUUGCUGUCACUUAUAGAUGGAUCCGCGCCGCAUUAGCUAGUUGGUAAGGUAACGGCUUACCAAGGCAACGAUGCGUAGCCGACCUGAGAGGGUGAUCGGCCACACUGGAACUGAGACACGGUCCAGACUCCUACGGGAGGCAGCAGUAGGGAAUCUUCCGCAAUGGGCGAAAGCCUGACGGAGCAACGCCGCGUGAGUGAUGAAGGUCUUCGGAUCGUAAAACUCUGUUAUUAGGGAAGAACAAAUGUGUAAGUAACUAUGCACGUCUUGACGGUACCUAAUCAGAAAGCCACGGCUAACUACGUGCCAGCAGCCGCGGUAAUACGUAGGUGGCAAGCGUUAUCCGGAAUUAUUGGGCGUAAAGCGCGCGUAGGCGGUUUUUUAAGUCUGAUGUGAAAGCCCACGGCUCAACCGUGGAGGGUCAUUGGAAACUGGAAAACUUGAGUGCAGAAGAGGAAAGUGGAAUUCCAUGUGUAGCGGUGAAAUGCGCAGAGAUAUGGAGGAACACCAGUGGCGAAGGCGACUUUCUGGUCUGUAACUGACGCUGAUGUGCGAAAG
rnacentral:rRNA from 1 species